AUGUGGAAUGAUGAACUCAAUGUGUCUGUUCAUAGUGCCUCCUUUCAUUAUAUUUUAGCUAAUGUAGUUCAUCUAGCCUCGGGUGUUCACUUUUGUUUGAUUUGUAUAUAUGGUGACCCCUACCAUAGGCAGACUAGUGCUAUUUGGAGUCAAGUUUCUGCUUUUGUGUAUGAUAACUUGGGUAAGCCCAUGAUGUGUAUUGGAGACCUUAAUGACAUCUUGUAUGAUACAGAUGGUUGUAAUGGUAGUGUUAAUUAUUAUCGCAUGUCUGCUUUUCGUUCCCUUGUUAAAAAUUAA
rnacentral:rRNA from 1 species